rnacentral:tRNA from 1 species
AUGUACCCAAGGGGAUUAAGGCAGGGGAUUGGGAAUCCCCCAUGCGGGA